UACGUAGGGUGCAAGCGUUGUCCGGAAUUAUUGGGCGUAAAGAGCUCGUAGGCGGUCUGUCGCGUCUGCUGUGAAAUCUCAGGGCUUAACCCUGAGCUUGCAGUGGGUACGGGCAGACUAGAGUGCGGUAGGGGAGACUGGAAUUCCUGGUGUAGCGGUGAAAUGCGUAGAUAUCAGGAGGAAUACCGGUGGCGAAAGCGACUCUCUGGACGGCAACUGACGCUGAGGCACGAAAGCGUGGGGAGCAAACAGG
rnacentral:rRNA from 1 species